rnacentral:lncRNA from 1 species
ACAUGUAAGGCAGCAAUUUCCCAUUUCUUCUCCCUAUAAGUUUUCCCCAAACCUGAAGUGGAAGUCGAGAGGUUACUCAGUGAGAAGAAGCGUCAAAUGAUAUAGACAAUUAUCGCGCCGGUGGAUAACAAAGGUUGGGGCAAAGAGGAGCUUUCUCUCUACACAAAAGAAAUUACUAAGCAUAUGUUUUCCCCAACCCUGAAGUGGAAGUAGAGCGAUUGCUUAGUGAGAAGAAGCGUCAAAUGAUUUAGACAGUUAUCGCGCUGGUGGAAAUCGAAGGUUGGGACAAAGAGGAGCUUUCUCUCUACACAAAAGAAAUUACUAAGUAUAAAUUUUCUCCGAACCUGAACUGGAAGUCGAGUGAUUGCUUAGUGAGAAGAAGCGUCAAAUAAUUUGGACAGUUGUCACGCUUGUGGAGAUCGAAGUUUAGGACAAGAGGAGCUUUCUCUACACAAAAGAAAUUACUAAGUAGGAGUAUAAGUUUUCCCCAAACCUGAACCGGAAGUCGAGUGAUUGCUUAGUGAGAAAAAGCGUCGAAUGAUUUAGACAGUUAUCACGCCGGUGGAGAUCGAACGUAGGGGCAAAGAAGAGCUUUCUCUCUACACAAAAGAAAUUACUAAGUAUAUAUAUACUAGUGCAUAUAAAUGAAACGUUUAUAAGUAUAAUUUUCUCAUUAAUAUGUAAAAUGAAAGAGGUGGAGAUUUAGAAUUUACAUGAAACAUCUAUAUUUAUACCCUUUAAUUAGGGAGAGGACCAA